ensembl:lncRNA
CAUGCGUGAGUGCGUGCGUGUGUGUUUUGUCCUUCUACAGACCUGUGGUCGGGUUACUCAUUCUGGAUCAAUCAUGUGCAGAAGAAGGACCGGAGGCUCUGGGACCACCAGGGUUAGGCUCCAGUGUUCCUCCACAGCUCAGAGUCCAUCAGCCCGGCCGUGGAGCCCCAGACCUGGCCUGGAGGGGCUAUCACACAUGAGAGCCUGCUCUGGAUCCAAGCCUCGUCCUGCUAAUGGACCCGGGCUGGCCUCAAGCUUGCCUGAAUAAAUAGAACUCGCACGAUCACAGUGCCUUGAGUCCUGACAAGGGCUGUUCACACCGAGCAGAGUAAUCUCAGGCCUCUUGUAAUGCACCUGCCACUCAUCCCGGGCUCCUGAGGACCUGAGAGAGGACCGCUCAUCAGCUCAGUUGGGGUGACCGCAGUCGGGGUGAAAACAGACCCAGCGGGGGGCUAUUGAACCGUCAGCAGCCUACAGUUUAAUAUAAAAACAGCCCAAUGAAAGAGGACAGUCAACCUUUGGGUGAAUGGCCUCUGCCACAAAGCCCAGCAUGGGCUGACAUCUCAAGCCCACACAGGGAGAGACGUUACGCAACACUUUCCACCAGGAAAGACUCAACAGUGUCCACCAACAUGAGAGAUUCAACACCGUCCACCAGGAGAGACUCAACACUGUCCACCAGGAGAGACCCAACAGUGUCCACCAGGAGAGACUCAACACUGUCCACCAGGAGAGACUCAACACUGUCCACCACGAUGAGAGACUCAACACUGUCCACCACCAUGAGAGACUCAACACUGUCCAACAGGAGAGACUCAACACUGUCCACCACCAUGAGAGACUCAACACUGUCCAACAGGAGAGACUCAACACUGUCCACCACCAUGAGAGACUCAACACUGUCCAACAGGAGAGACUCAACACUGUUCACCGUCAUGAGAGACUCAACACUGUCCACCACCAUGAGAGACUCAACACUGUCCACCAGGAGAGACUCAACACUGUCCACCACCAUGAGAGACUCAACACUGUCCACCAGGAGAGACUCAACACUGUCCACCAGGAGAGACUCAACACUGUCCACCAGGGGAGACUCAAUACUGUCCACCACCAUGAGAGACUCAACACUGUCCAACAAGAGAGACUCAACACUGUCCACCACCAUCAGAGACUCAACACUGCCCACCAGGAGAGACUCAACAUUGUGCACCACCAGGAGAGACUCAACACUGAGGUGUCGGCGUAGCUCAGGAGGUAGAGCAGUUGUCUUGCUCAUCAUAACUGUUGAAUGUUGAGUGUUGAAGUGUCCAUGAGUGCAGAUGACAAAAAUACCUUUAAGGGAAUACACCAUUGUAUAGCAUUGUUCCUGAGCUAAACUUGCAGCAUAAAAGUAAUAAUCACAACAUGGACAAAUGUAAAAGGGCAUGUACAUAUAGGCAUACUCGCUUCUAGAUUACAAUAUCUUUAUUUUUUUAUGGAAAUAAUCUAUUUCAAAAAAUUC